rnacentral:rRNA from 1 species
GACGAACGCUGGCGGCGUGCUUAAUACAUGCAAGUCGAACGGAAAGGCCCCUUUUGGGGUACUCGAGUGACGUACGGGCGAGUAACUCGUGCGUAACUUGCCUUUCUCUUCGGGAGGAAUUACUGAAACAGGGGCUAAUACAUGCUAGGUAUCAUUGCUGCAUGGAGGGGGUUGGAUAGCUUCGGCGGAUUUGGUUGGACUCGCGGCGUAUUAGCUUGUUUGUGGGGUAGUGGCUUACGAAGGCUUUGAAGGGUAGCCGGCCUGAGAGGGCGUCCGGCCACAAUGGGACUGAGGGACGGCCCAGACGCCUACGGGAGGCAACAGUGGGGAAUAUUGCACAAUGGGCGGGAGCCAGAGGCAGCAACGCCGCGUGCGGGAAGACCGCCUUCGGGUUGAAAACCGGUUUCAGCAGGGGAGAAGCUUGUGGUGACGGUACCUGCAGAAGAAGCACCGGCUAACUACGUG